CGCGGUAUUCCUGACCGUGCGAAGGUAGCAUAAUCAUUAGUCUCUUAAUUGGGGGCUCGUAUGAAAGGCUGGACGAGGGAUACACUGUCUCAACUAAAACCCUUGAAAUUAACCUCUAAGUGAAAAGGCUUAGAUACGUUAGAAAGACGAUAAGACCCUAUAAAUCUUAACAUUAACUUAACAGUUUUACCUAAUAUAUAAGUUAAAAACAAACGAUUAAAAAAUGUUGUGUUGGGGAGACAAAGAUAUAAAAACACCAACUGUCUUAAAUAUUAAACAAUGAUUUUUGACUACAAAAGAUCCUUUCUAAAGAUUUAAAGAGCAAGUUACUUUAGGGAUAACAGCGUUAUUUUUCUUGAGAGUCCAUAUCGAGAGAAAAGUUUGCGACCUCGAUGUUGAAUUAAAAUUUCUUUAUGGUGCAGCAGCUAUAAAAGAAAGUCUGUUCGACUUUU
rnacentral:rRNA from 1 species